GUUAAAACAGUUUAAGUUUAAAAGGUUUAAAAGACAGAUAGAUAGAUAGUGUCAGACAGAUAGACAGUUACAGAUAUAUAGAUUGAUAGAUAGAUAGAUUCAUGAUUGAGUCUAUAGAUAGAUAGAAAUAGUCAGAUUACAGUGAGAUAGAUAGAUAGAUAGAUAGAUAGAUAGAUAGAUAGAUAGAUAGAUAGAUAGAUUCAUUCACUAUGGAGUUUGUGGUUACAGUUGCGGAUCCUUAAUGUCAGAUACCACCCAUAUUGACUAGCCUACAACUUGGAUAAUAAUCCAAAAUGUUUUGCACCUGCAGCGCACAUUACACACAUUGAUGAAUGUCACUAACAUGUUGUAUUGAAAUUGAUUGAAAAUGAACUUAAUUAUUUGUAUUUCUUUUUAAAUGAAAGUAUUUUUAAUAUAAAAUGAUGGAUGUAUUGAAAUUUCCUUUCUCCCAAUAAAACCUUGCCCUAAUUUACUGAUUUGUUUACUGAUUAUUGUUGGGUUUAUUUAGUAAUGUAGUCCCCAAUUUUUAUUUAUUUAUUUAUUUUUUUCAUCAAAAUGAGAGAAAAUUAAUGUUUGGUAAUAUAAUUUUAAACCUACACACAUAAAUGACCGUUAUCAGCGCUUCAGCACGUGAUUAAUUAUAACCAAUGAGACCGCUGGAACGUAGAGAGUCACUCAUCCGCUUUUGACUUCCGUUAUUGCGUCCCUCAGGUAAGCGUCUCAAAUUUCUGAUAAAUAUUUGAGGAUUUAUUUUUAAAAUUUGGAAAAAAAUAAUCGAAAUAGUUGUGAAUUAAUUAAUUGGGACUGAUUCAAGUAUUAAUUGUUGCUGUUUAAACUAUAAACCGGCCGACUAGCCACAACUGCUAUUCUGAGGUAAUUUCUGAAGUAAUUGAAGGUAUUUAUGAAUUUGCAUCCUUUUAUUGUUGUUGCUAUCAUUGUCAUUUUGAAAAUGAAAUGGCCGAGAUAUGGAUCUGGGGCGGGUUAAGUCGAUACAUAUUGGACAAGUUAUUAAACGUGUAACGUUAUAUUUUAAUCAGGAACAAAACACCACAUUUUAAAGAAAUUAGCAACAAAUGUAAGAUACAGCUUACACCUGUACGGUCGUGAUUAAACAACGUCCCUCAGGACUUUUAGCUGAAAAGUGUGUACAGUUGGACAAAUAUUUAUGAAUUUUCAUCAAUUCAGUUUACUUGACUUUUAUUUUGAGAGCCGUAUUACUAGUUUUUUUUUUCACCGGAUGAGAAGAGCCGUGUCUAGAACAACUCAAACAGCGAGUAAACACGGCGUAGCCGGACGCCUCCGGUGUGGGUUCACUCACGGAACAUAAUGUGUUUUAAAAACGUGACGCGGCGUGAGGCGAUACCACGGGUCUCGUCCGGUGACCGACCGUCUGUAUUUCACGAAUCACACAUAUCGCUGUAACGUUUGCUGCAUAAAUAUAUAUUGACGUAUUGACUGAAGAAAGAUGCAUACAAUAAACAUCCAAGGGCAGCAAUAUAUGCUGCUGCUCCUGUUGUACUUCUGAAAGCAGUUUGUAGCACAUUGCUUGUGCUAAGAGCCAACAUCCAGUCUUGACAAACCCAAAGGCUCUUUUAAGAGCCAUCCACUCUGCAUUACAGAGACCAUUUCGGUGAAGCUCACCAUCAUUGGUCACACCUGGUAAAGCUCACCAUCAUUGGUCACACCUGGUGAAGCUCACCAUUAAAUUGUUCGUCUUGUCCAUCUAGCUUGCUAACGCACCUUAAAAAAAGAGCCAGAAUCCCAAAAAACAGAAGCCCAAACUUUGAAUCCAAAAAAACAGAACCCAAAACACCCAAACCCAAAAAAACAGAACCCAAAACACCCAAACCAAAAACACCCAAACCUAACCCCCAAACUUAACCCCCAAACUUGAACCCAUUUUUACAGUGCUGAAAGAAGGACGUGCUGUAGUUCCAGUCUGCCCUGCUGCCUUCUUGAUCAACGCUGAUCUGAGGACUACGUUGGAAAAUCAGCAACAGCAAAACACAUUUGUUUAAUAACCAGCUGUUUUCCUUCACAUAGUGUUCAUUUUCUAGUCUUGUCUGGAUCACAUAUUAAACUUUUGUAUCACUGA